UACGAAGGGGGCUAGCGUUGCUCGGAAUUACUGGGCGUAAAGCGCACGUAGGCGGCUUUUUAAGUCGGGGGUGAAAUCCUGGAGCUCAACUCCAGAACUGCCUUCGAUACUGGAAAGCUCGAGUCCGGGAGAGGUGAGUGGAACUGCGAGUGUAGAGGUGAAAUUCGUAGAUAUUCGCAAGAACACCAGUGGCGAAGGCGGCUCACUGGCCCGAUACUGACGCUGAGGCACGAAAGCGUGGGGAGCAAACAGG
rnacentral:rRNA from 1 species